rnacentral:rRNA from 1 species
CACUCCUGCGGGAGGCAGCAGUGGGGAAUAUUGGACAAUGGGCGCAAGCCUGAUCCAGCCAUGCCGCGUGAGUGAUGAAGGCCCUAGGGUUGUAAAGCUCUUUCACCGGUGAAGAUAAUGACGGUAACCGGAGAAGAAGCCCCGGCUAACUUCGUGCCAGCAGCCGCGGUAAUACGAAGGGGGCUAGCGUUGUUCGGAUUUACUGGGCGUAAAGCGCACGUAGGCGGACUAUUAAGUCAGGGGUGAAAUCCCGGGGCUCAACCCCGGAACUGCCUUUGAUACUGGUAGUCUUGAGUUCGAGAGAGGUGAGUGGAAUUCCGAGUGUAGAGGUGAAAUUCGUAGAUAUUCGGAGGAACACCAGUGGCGAAGGCGGCUCACUGGCUCGAUACUGACGCUGAGGUGCGAAAGCGUGGGGAGCAAACAGGAUUAGAAACCCUGGUAGUCC